GCUAUGUGAUGAAGUUCCUCUCUUUCUAUUCACCUCAUCAUCCAGUGGAUGGAAUAAAAUAGUUUCAAAUCAUGAUGCCAAGUGCAUCUUUAGCCAAAAAAGAAAAAAAGAAGAUGAUGAGAAAAAAAAAAAAAGAAAAAAAAAAAAAAGAAGGAUUUCGUGGAUUUUAUUUUUAAUCGAGGAUGCUCGUCUAUCCAUUUCACAUACAGAUGACUGCAUGGCGACCUCCAAAAUCUCAUAAUGCCAUGGUGAGUCAAAAUAACAUAGGCAGCUGGAGCAGUGACUUGCCCGAAGGAGGAAGUACAGUGAACGCAGCACGGGCUCAUGAGGCUGAUGCAACAUGAGAGUUGGCAGACAAAUGGAGGAUGAUCUAAAGGAAUCGAUUAAACGGUCUGAUCUGGAUCCUUUCGUCUCAGCGAUGGUGAAACAAUGGUCAGAGAUCACAACUCCUCUUAUAUGUGAGCACCGAUGUCCUGAUAGUUCCAGUUCAAGGGGUAAAAUAUCUAAUAUAAAAGGUACAAUAUAUAACAUAAUAUAAAAUAUGCAUGAUACAUUGUAUAAUAUGUCUAAAAUAUGUCUGGAAACUAUUUUAGCAGAAACUUUUAUCCAAAGCGACUUUCAAAUGAGAAGUAGUGUUAACGUGUUCUGCCUUGGAUAAUCGCUUCUGCUUUUAUUAUUCUAAUCUUUUUGAAUAAAUUGUCUGCUA